UACGGAGGGUGCAAGCGUUAUCCGGAUUCACUGGGUUUAAAGGGUGCGUAGGUGGGCUAGUAAGUCCGUGGUGAAAUCUCCAAGCUUAACUUGGAAACUGCCGUGGAUACUAUUAGUCUUGAAUAUUGUGGAGGUAAGCGGAAUAUGUCAUGUAGCGGUGAAAUGCCUAGAUAUGACAUAGAACACCGAUAGCGAAGGCAGCUUGCUACACAAUCAUUGACACUGAGGCACGAAAGCGUGGGGAUCAAACAGG
rnacentral:rRNA from 1 species